rnacentral:rRNA from 1 species
GACGGAGGGUGCAAGCGUUGUUCGGAAUUACUGGGCGUAAAGCGCACGUAGGCGGCUUUGUAAGUUAGAGGUGAAAGCCCGGGGCUCAACCCCGGAAUUGCCUUUAAGACUGCAUCGCUUGAAUUGCGGAGAGGUAAGUGGAAUUCCGAGUGUAGAGGUGAAAUUCGUAGAUAUUCGGAAGAACACCAGUGGCGAAGGCGGCUCACUGGACGACUGUUGACGCUGAGGUGCGAAAGCGUGGGGAGCAAACAGGG